rnacentral:rRNA from 1 species
UGGGGAAUAUUGCACAAUGGGGGAAACCCUGAUGCAGCAACGCCGCGUGCGGGAUGACGGCCUUCGGGUUGUAAACCGCUUUCAGCCAUGACGAAGCUUUUGUGACGGUAGUGGCAGAAGAAGCACCGGCUAACUACGUGCCAGCAGCCGCGGUGAUACGUAGGGUGCGAGCGUUGUCCGGAAUUAUUGGGCGUAAAUAGCUUGUAGGCGGUUUGUCGCGUCGAAAGUGUAAACUCAGUGCUUAACGCUGAGCCUGCUUUCGAUACGGGCUGACUAGAGGAAGGUAGGGGAGAAUGGAAUUCCCGGUGGAGCGGUGGAAUGCGCAGAUAUCGGGAGGAACACCAGUGGCGAAGGCGGUUCUCUGGACCUUUCCUGACGCUGAGAAGCGAAAGCGUGGGUAGCAAACAGG